AAAAAUAUAAAAAUCAUUUUCAGUGGACCUCUGUUGUUGACACUAAUUGACUCCGAUCUCCAACUGCCGGUGUCUCUACUGUGAAAUGGAGAAUCCAUCAUCUUCAUCUGUGUUGUUGAGUUACAGAGCAGAAGACACUGCUACAGCUUUCACUGAUCACCUUUAUACUGCUUUAAUUCAAGCUGGAAUACAAACCUUCAAACAGGGCAUCGAUCGAAAUUGGAAGGUGUCGGUGAUUAUACUGACGGAAGGAUAUGCUUUGUGUCAAUCGUGUCUUGAGCAGCUUAAUGUGAUUUUAAAGGGUAAAGAGAAAUUAGAUCGAUCAAUUCUACCUGUGUUUUAUGAUGUGGAUCCUUCUGAUAUUAGGAAGCACAAGGGGAAAAUUGGUGAAGCAUUAGGUUUACAUGAACAAAGCAGUGGAAAGGAAAGUGUAGAAAGAUGGAGACAGGCACUUGCUGAAAUUGCUGAUUUUGGGGGAAUGGUAUUGCAGAAUCAAGCUGAUGGGUAAACUUCUUUCUUCUUCUUCCUCAAUUUUGUUUAGUAUUCGAAACCUUGUGGUCCGAAGCCUGUUUAAUAUAUAUAUAACUGUUUACGUGGUUUAACCUUAGCGGAGGUUGCUAGGGGGUUAU
rnacentral:misc_RNA from 1 species